rnacentral:tRNA from 1 species
UAUGAGAAAGUGUUUUUGCACGUAAGUUUUUGGUACUUGAAGUAAACGAAGUUUUCUCAUAU